GAUGAACGCUGGCGGCGUGCCUAAUACAUGCAAGUCGAGCGAACGGACGAGAAGCUUGCUUCUCUGAUGUUAGCGGCGGACGGGUGAGUAACACGUGGAUAACCUACCUAUAAGACUGGGAUAACUUCGGGAAACCGGAGCUAAUACCGGAUGAUAUUUUGAACCGCAUGGUUCAAAAGUGAAAGACGGUCUUGCUGUCACUUAUAGAUGGAUCCGCGCUGCAUUAGCUAGUUGGUAAGGUAACGGCUUACCAAGGCAACGAUGCAUAGCCGACCAGAGAGGGUGAUCGGCCACACUGGAUCUGAGACACGGUCCAGACUCCUACGGGAGGCAGCAGUAGGGAAUCUUCCGCAAUGGGCGAAAGCCUGACGGAGCAACGCCGCGUGAGUGAUGAAGGUCUUCGGAUCGUAAAACUCUGUUAUUAGGGAAGAACAUAUGUGUAAGUAACUGUGCACAUCUUGACGGUACCUAAUCAGAAAGCCACGGCUAACUACGUG
rnacentral:rRNA from 1 species